rnacentral:rRNA from 1 species
GACGAACGCUGGCGGCGUGCUUAACACAUGCAAGUCGAACGAAGUGGCGAACGGGUGAGUAACGCGUAAUCAACCUGCCCUUCAGAGGGGGACAACAGUUGGAAACGACUGCUAAUACCCCAUACUGAAGGAGGGGAUUGCGUCUGAUUAGCUAGUUGGAGGGGUAACGGCCCACCAAGGCGAUGAUCAGUAGGCGGGCUGGGAGGGUGGACGGCCACAUUGGGACUGGGACACGGCCCAGACUCCUACGGGAGGGAGCAGUGGGGAAUCUUCCGCAAUGGAGGGAAGUCUGAAGGAGCAAAGCCGCGUGAGUGAUGACGGCCUUCGGGUUGUAAAGCUAUGUUAAUCGGGACGCGGUACCGGAAUAGAAAGCAACGGCUAACUACGUGCCAGCAGCCGCGGUAAUUC